rnacentral:rRNA from 1 species
GACUCUCGACAACUGAUAUCUCGGCUCUCGCAUCGAUGAAAAACGUAGCGAAAUGCGAUACUUGGUGUGAAUUGCAGAAUCCCGUGAACCAUCGAGUCUUUGAACGCAAGUUGCGCCCGAAGCCUUUAGGCCGAGGGCACGUCUGCCUGGGCGUCA